GGGUUGUGAGGUUAAGCGACCAAGCGUACACGGUGGAUGCCCUGGCAGUCAGAGGCGAUGAAGGACGUGCUAAUCUGCGAAAAGCGCCGGUAAGGUGAUAUGAACCGUUAUAACCGGCGAUGUCCGAAUGGGGAAACCCAGUGUGAUUCGUCACACUAUCAUUAACUGAAUCCAUAGGUUAAUGAGGCGAACCGGGGGAACUGAAACAUCUAAGUACCCCGAGGAAAAGAAAUCAACCGAGAUUCCCCCAGUAGCGGCGAGCGAACGGGGAGGAGCCCAGAGCCUGAAUCAGCAUGUGUGUUAGUGGAAGCGUCUGGAAAGGCGCGCGAUACAGGGUGAGAGCCCCGUACACAAAAGCGCACGUGCUGUGAGCUCGAUGAGUAGGGCGGGACACGUGGUAUCCUGUCUGAAUAUGGGGGGACCAUCCUCCAAGGCUAAAUACUCCUGACUGACCGAUAGUGAACCAGUACCGUGAGGGAAAGGCGAAAAGAACCCCGGCGAGGGGAGUGAAACAGAACCUGAAACCGUGUACGUACAAGCAGUGGGAGCCCCACCACUAAGCCAGUGGUGAACUCCACAUACGCAUCCUUUGCUGAGGAUACGGUUAACGGAGCGAGAGCGACGUUCAACCGCAAAAGAAGCAGAGGGGGCUUAGUGGUGGGGUGACUGCGUACCUUUUGUAUAAUGGGUCAGCGACUUAUAUUCUGUAGCAAGGUUAACCGCAUAGGGGAGCCGGAGGGAAACCGAGUCUUAAUUGGGCGUUAAGUUGCAGGGUAUAGACCCGAAACCCGGUGAUCUAGCCAUGGGCAGGUUGAAGGUUGGGUAACACUAACUGGAGGACCGAACCGACUAAUGUUGAAAAAUUAGCGGAUGACCUGUGGCU
rnacentral:rRNA from 1 species